AAAUUGAAGAGUUUGAUCAUGGCUCAGAUUGAACGCUGGCGGCAGGCCUAACACAUGCAAGUCGAACGGUAACAGGAAACAGCUUGCUGUUUCGCUGACGAGUGGCGGACGGGUGAGUAAUGUCUGGGAAACUGCCUGAUGGAGGGGGAUAACUACUGGAAACGGUAGCUAAUACCGCAUAAUGUCGCAAGACUAAAGAGGGGGACCUUCGGGCCUCUUGCCAUCGGAUGUGCCCAGAUGGGAUUAGCUAGUAGGUGGGGUAACGGCUCACCUAGGCGACGAUCCCUAGCUGGUCUGAGAGGAUGACCAGCCACACUGGAACUGAGACACGGUCCAGACUCCUACGGGAGGCAGCAGUGGGGAAUAUUGCACAAUGGG
rnacentral:rRNA from 1 species